UACGUAGGGGGCAAGCGUUGUCCGGAAUCAUUGGGCGUAAAGAGCGUGUAGGCGGCUUGGUAAGUCCGCUGUGAAAGUCCAGGGCUCAACCCUGGAAAGCCGGUGGAAACUGUCAAGCUUGAGUCCGGAAGAGGCGAGUGGAAUUCCUGGUGUAGCGGUGAAAUGCGCAGAUAUCAGGAGGAACACCAAUGGCGAAGGCAGCUCACUGGGACGGUACUGACGCUGAGACGCGAAAGCGUGGGGAGCAAACAGG
rnacentral:rRNA from 1 species